AGCGAACGCUGGCGGCAGGCCUAACACAUGCAAGUCGAACGAACCUUUCGGGGUUAGUGGCGGACGGGUGAGUAACACGUGGGAACGUUCCUUUAGGUUCGGAAUAACUCAGGGAAACUUGUGCUAAUACCGAAUGUGCCCUUCGGGGGGAAGAUUAAUCGCCGUUAGAGCGGCCCGCGUCUGAUUAGCUAGUUGGUUGAGGUAAUGGCUCACCAAGGCGACGAUCAGUAGCUGGUCUGAGAGGAUGAUCAGACACAUUGGGACUGAGACACGGCCCAAAAUCCUACGGGAGGCAGCAGUGGGGAAUCUUGCGAAAUGGGCGAAAGCCUGACGCAGCCAUGCCGCGUGAAUGAUGAAGGUAUUAGGAUUGUAAAAUUCUUUCAACGGGGACGAUAAUGACGGUACCCGGAGAAGAAGCCCCGGCUAACUUCGUG
rnacentral:rRNA from 1 species